CGGCGGACGGGUGAGUAACGCGUGGAUAACCUGCCCCAUACCGGGGGAUAACAGUUAGAAAUGACUGCUAAUACCGCAUAAGCGCACGGCGCCGCAUGGCGCAGUGUGAAAAGCUCCGGUGGUAUGGGAUGGAUCCGCGUCUGAUUAGCUAGUUGGCGGGGUAACGGCCCACCAAGGCAGCGAUCAGUAGCCGACCUGAGAGGGUGGCCGGCCACAUUGGGACUGAGACACGGCCCAAACUCCUACGGAAGGCAGCAG
rnacentral:rRNA from 1 species